AACACGUGACUAACCUACCCCGGUGUGGGGGAUAACGGGUCGAAAGACUCGCUAAUCCCGCAUACGAUCCGCCUCGGCGGAGGAAAGCCGUAAGGCGCACUGGGCGGGGGUCGCGUCCCAUUAGAUAGUUGGUGUGGUAAUGGCGCACCAAGUCGAUGAUGGGUCUCUGGUCUGAGAGGACGACCAGACAGAUUGGGACUGAGACACGGCCCAAACUCCUACGGGGGGCAGCAGCAAGGAAUUUUCGGCAAUGGGCGCAAGCCUGACCGAACAACGCCGCGUGGAGGAUGACGGCUCUUGGGUUGUAAACUCCUUUUGGGGGGGACGAUAAUGACGGUACCCUCCGAAUCAGGCCCGGCUAACUACGUGCCAGCAGCCGCGGUAAUACGUAGGGGCCAAGCGUUGUCCGGAAUUACUGGGCGUAAAGCGUGGGUAGGUGGUCGGUGAUGUGCCGCGUGAAAGCGCCGGAGUAAUGCCGGCGAGGUCGCGGUAGACACACGGACUCGAGGCUCGCAGAGGAACGUGGAAUUCCCGGUGUAGUGGUGAAAUGCGUAGAUAUCGGGAGGAACACCAGUGGCGCAAGCGGCGUUCUGGGCGAGACCUGACACUGAGCCACGACGGCGUGGGGAGCAAACAGGAUUAGAUACCCUGGUAGUCCACGCAGUAAACGAUG
rnacentral:rRNA from 1 species